GCGAUAGAUGAGAGAGACAGACGGAUGGAUGACAUGCAGCGAAGAGCCCAGGCCAGGUUCAAACCCAGGUCACUGCCGUGGUAUUGACGAGCCUUGACACGUGAUGUCCUCUACCAGGGAAAGGACGCAGUGAAGCGCCAUCGCUCCAAGGUCGUUCAUCAGCCGGUGUGUCCAUAGCAACAUUUAGACCGCGAUGUGAUUGCUGGAGAUGAAGUAAGAGGUUGCACCUUCUAGAUCAGUUAAGAGUCCUGCUUCCCACCUUCCCCUGCUGCCCUGUGACGACUCUUGUCUCGUAAAUCACCAGGCUUUAGAAAUAAUACAAGAUGAUUCUCUACCCAACCUCCAAAUCGCUGAUUGAUGAUUUAAUCAGCGAGGAGCAUGGCCCUUAACAAAUUCAUAACCUUGCAUCGUUAGGCGUUGGCUUCUCUGCCAGCGCUGUACUCGAGGAUCAUUCAUUUUCCCACAGUGCCAUCCUCUUUCUGCAUACAGGAGGCAACACAAAGCCAGACAAGUGCAGUGGUAAUGUGGGUGGCAUUAUAGCUAUUUCCCAACCAGUUGCCUGCAUCGGUGAAUCCCUGCUGACACGCAUUUGCCAGCUGCCUCCCCCACGAAACAGCACUCAAAGGGAUUCCCAGUGUGCAGGGGCACUGCCAGGAUGGCGCGCAGCCGAGAUUCUUUUAUUUUCUAAAGCGGAGACGGGUUGAAUCACACACCGAACGGGGCAAAUGAGGAGAACUCUUUGACGUUUGUUUUGUUUGAAUAAAUUGUCUGAAAGUGAGUGUUUGGGCAAGCAGAGGUGUACAAAUGUGUUUAUCUGACAUUUCCUGUGGCACUCCUGAAAUCAAAAGCCUCUUUUUUUUCAGAUGUUAUUCAAACUAGUAUUAGGAGGGGAUUAACGGUGAGAUUUGUCCAUCUCUCGAGCACAGCAAACUUUUCAAAGUACUCCGAGAUGACCUGAAAACACAAAGUAAAAAUCAAGACUAGGUUGUGCAUUAAUUCACAACUUUCAUCCUGGUCUUCACAGACAGAAACACACUUUAAUACGUUAGCAUGAGGUAUCUGAGUCAGCACCUCCUUUGAAUUUUAAUCCCAGCCGGCCUCCUUCUGGGAAAAGAGAUGAAUGGAUGUUAGUGUGGAUGCUUGUUCAGUGAAGCCUGUGAAACAGCCACAGGAUUCUUCACACAUGAAGUGCUGUAGCUUCAUGCUAUGGAUUUUCCUUCUG